AUGGACCAUUCCAUCCCUUUUUCCCGUGCAUAUGCAUCGGACUCGGAUGACGAUGGUCCCGAUGAACAAGUUGAUGCGGAGGGGUUCACGGUGAAGGAGGCCGAAGCUUUCGAGAAGGUAUUUGGUCGGGAUCAUCGGACUACAUUGUUCAAGGAUGUUAGUCUCGCGGAUGAAGCCGUGGUAGAUGGUGGCCAAUGUGUAGCUCUUGGGGUUAGGCCAAGCUCUCACCGUGAUUUGGUAGACGACAAGAACCGGAUUGCUAAAGGUUCUAAGUUCGACAGCUUGUUGGAUUUGAAGAUGUGGCUCGACAACUACUCGGUUACGCAUUAUCGUCCACACAAGGUGGUGCACUCGGACGUUAAUGUGCGCUACACGGUUGCAUGUGCAUGUGAAGAUGAAAAGGAGGUCCAACUUGGACUUACAAGAGGCCGUGGUGGUGGUAGAGGUCGUGGAAAGGAGGUCCAACAAGGAGUGGCAAGACGCCGUGGCGGUUGUCCGUGGAUUGUGCGCGCAAGACCAUGGAAAGGAGGUCCUACUUGGCAUGUAGUGAGUUGUGUGCCAACUCACAUGUGCCAAGGCAAAAGGGUGGAUGGCAAGAUUGUGUCCCAAGACCACAAACAACUCACGUCCGAGUUCAUCGCUUACAGGCUCUCGAACUCAAUAUCCACACUUCCAACAAUGAGCGUCCAACAUGUCAUUGACCUUGUGAAAGCCAUCUUUCAUUACCAGGUGAAAUACGGCAAGGCAUGGAAGGCGAAGCAAGCCGCAUUUAAGAUGUUGUAUGGUACAUGGGAGGAAGCAUACAACCGAAUCCCUAGGUUGUUGUUAGCCAUGGCCGCGACAAACCCGGGCAUGGUUCAUGUGGUCGAGCCUCAUGGGCACCAAACAACGGUUCAUGAAGGAAGGAAAGUCAGAGUAUUUGGCCGUGCUUUUUGGGCGCUCGAGCAAUGUGUGAGGGCUUUCGAACAUUGUAGGCCGGUCAUCGCAAUUGAUGGCACGUUCUUGACCGGACAAUACAAGGGCACCUUGUUGGUUGCGAUAGCAAGUGAUGCCAAUAACCGGGUGUUGCCAUUAGCAUUUGCUUUGGUUGAGGUGGAAAACAAUGACAACUGGGAGUGGUUUCUGCAUCUUUUGAGGAUGAAGGUGUUACCCGCUCAAAGGGAAAUUUGUGUCAUAUCGGAUCGGAAUCAAGGAAUUCUUAACGCCGUGGAGAUUGACAUUCCCGGGCAUGCUCCGUUGCACCAUCGAUGGUGCAUGAGGCACUUUUGUUCGAACUUCUAUAGGGCAUGUGGCCUUAAGGAGUUGGCCGAUGAUCUUCAAGAUUGUUGUCUCGCUUUCUCCGAUAAGCGCUUCGCCACUUUGUACAACAAAUUGCUCGCACACAAAAAACUUGAUCCCGGGGGUCAAGAGUUUCUCAAUAGGCACAUUCAAUACCGGAACAAGUGGGCACGUGCUUUUGAUGAAGAUGGCCGGAGAUACGGUCAAAUGACAAGCAAUAUGGCCGAAUGCUUCAAUAGGGUGCUCAAAGGUGCACGUGGAUUACCCGUGAUGGCAAUAGUUCAAUACACAUUUGACAAGAUGAAUGCGUACUUUGUAAAGUACUCGAUGGAAACCGAUGCACAGAUAGCGGGUGAGAACCCACGGAAGUACAAGUACAAGUUCCCACCCAAAGUUGAUGAAUGGUUGCUAUUUCAAUCACGGAAGGCGGACUCAGAAGAAGCUAUAUUAUAUGACAAUGAGGAGUGGAAGUACGAAGUGAAAGAGCCAGGAGGAACCACAAACGAUGGCCGGCAACAUGGAGGUCGGGCUUUCAAGGUGUCGUUAACACAAUGUGAUUGCACUUGCGGGAGGCCAUUGUUGCUUCAUCUCCCAUGCUCACAUUUGUAUGCCGCCGGCCGCGUUAGGAAUGUGGACAUCAAUCACCCACACACCGUGAGGGAGUCCCAGUUCUCAAUCAUGACGGUCAAGAAAACAUGGGCUCCCCGCUUUCACCCAUACUUUGACCAAUCACAAUGGCCGGAGUAUCAUGGAGUUCAACUAUGGCCGGAUCCGGAGUUGAAGGUUGUUAAACGGGGUAGACGUAAGACAAAGCGUCUGAGAGGCGACAUGGACGGAUGGGGCCAUGGUGGGCGCCGCGAAGCGGGCAACGACCAAUUCCAAGAGCCUCGUGAGAGCUCCCGUUGUGGGGAGUGCAAAGGUCAUGGCCACAACAAAAGAAAAUGUACGAAACCAAGGAAAAGGUCCAAGAAAAAUGAUGCAAGCACAAGCCAACAUGGAGCUACACAAGGGAGCCAACCAAGUGGUCGCCAACCUAGUGGUCGCCAACCUAGUGGUAGCCAACCAAGUGGUAGCCAACAAGUGCGAAGCCAACCAAGUGGUAGCCAACCUAGUGGUAGCCAACAAGUGCCAAGGCAACCAAGUGGUACCCAACAAGUGCCUAGCCAACCAAGUGUUAGCCAAAGAGGUCGGCAAGUUGGACUUACAAGAGGCCGUGGUGGUGGUAGAGGUGGUGGUGGUGGUCUCGGCCGUGGUGGUGGAAGAGCUCGACGUGGUGGUAAUGGCCGUGGUGAUGGUCUCGGCCUUGGUGAUGGUCUUGGCCUUGGUGGUGGACUUGGCCGUGGUGAUGGACAAGCGCAAGUUCGUUAUAGAGAAAUGUUUGGAUAA
rnacentral:rRNA from 1 species